UCCCUGAGAGUCCUGAAGGAACGUUGAAGACGACGACGUUGAUAGGCCGGGUGUGUAAGCGCAGCGAUGCGUUGAGCUAACCGGUACUAAUGAACCGUGAGGCUUAACCUUACAACGCCGAAG
rnacentral:rRNA from 1 species